rnacentral:rRNA from 1 species
UACGUAGGGGGCAAGCGUUAUCCGGAAUUACUGGGCGUAAAGCGCACGCAGGCGGUUCGCCAAGUCUGGAGUGACAGUUGUCGGCUCAACCGACAAAGGACUUCAAAAACUGGUGAACUUGAGGACGAGAGAGGAACAUGGAACUCCAGGUGUAGUAGUGAAAUGCGUAGAUAUCUGGAAGAACACCAAUGGCGAAGGCAAUGUUCUGGCUCGUUUCUGACGCUCAGGUGCGAAAGCCAGGGGAGCGAACGGG